CUGGUCCGCCGCUUGGUGAGUAUGUUCACUUCCAUUGUGUAGACAGGAAAUGGAGGCUCCAGAGAGGUUAGGUGACUUACUCAGGGCCGCGCAGAAGCUAAGUGGUGUAGUGGACAAAACAGAAUCUGAAGUGAAACGGACCUGGGUGGGAAUCCCAGCUCUGCCGGUUCCGCGACGGAGGACCACCUCCCCUGAGAGCGCCUGCCCCUCCACUCCUCCUGAGCGAGGUUUCUGGGCCAGGAGCCAUCCUGUCCCACAGAGCUGGACACCCUCACUGUCGCCCUCUCUACUCAGAAGACUGCUGUCCUUUGAUUUCUCUUCUCACCCUCAGACAGGAAAGGGCUUCCUCUCUGUGCCGCUUACUUUCGUGUUCUAGCUUGAAACAGCUUUUCAGUGACUUACUUCCUAACCUUCCUCUGCAAGUUUUCUCAGAAACUUUUAAGGUCAAGAGAGGAGCUCAUGGAAAUGACAAACCCGCAUUAAAACCCAGGAGGCCCCAAGGCCUCUCGUGGGAGACCAGCAGGGAGGAAAGAUCUCCAGGGUCAUAGGCCAGGGCUGUGGUCUUCACGUUCCCCGACCCCUUUGGUGAUCUGAGGAAAGUUCUAGCCCAUUCCCAGGACAGUAUGCUCAUAUUAAUUGCAUACAGUUUGAGGGGGUUCACAGAUACACACACACACACACCCCAAGACCAUUUGUGGACCCAGAUUAGAAGCCCUGAGGAUCCUAGGCCCAGAAGAAAGGGCCUUGCCGGAGGCCACACAGGCCACUAGGAGCCAGGCCCCUGAGGAUCCUCGACCCAGGAGAAAGAGCCUUGCCAGAGGCCACACAGGCCACCAAGAGCCAGGCCCCUGGAAGGGUCAGCGGGGGCCUACCCUAUACCACCCUACCCUUUUCUUCCAACACAGCCAGGCCUGCACACUGCAGGCUAGACAACCUUCCAGCUGGUGUCCCCAGCACCCAGCCCACGUUUUUCUCCUCGGGCACCAGAAUUCUUCCUGGUUGCACUCUAAGCUCCAGAUCCCAAAAUACAGUCCUUUUGUUGUACACUGUUCACUCCCCCGUAGACCACCCUGUUCCUCUGGGGAACUUGUCUAUAACUAGACCCACUCCUGGUAGUCCAGCAUUAAGAAAACUCAGCACCUCUGCUCACCCGUAUCCAUCCUGGGUAGUGCUGGGGACACAAGAAGGACAGCCCUAGCCCUGUCCCUCCAGGGCUUACAGUCCAGGGAAAGAGACAAGAAGUCCCUGGCCAGUAACAACUGAGAGGGGUGGCGUGGGACUGGGCAGCCCAGAGGGGCCACAUAACCCAGCCUGGGUGUGGGACAUCAGGGAAGACUUCCCGAAAAAGGGGACACUCGGGCUGAGACCAAGGAAGGCUGAGUAGGCGGCAGCAGCAGGAGACUGCAGGGACUGAGGGAGGUGCUCGCUGGCUGGUUCUGGACCUAGGAGACGAAAGAGGGGGCCUGGUCAAGAGAGGAGGUCAGGCUGUCGCCAUGAGGAAAGGCGCCCCUGGGGUCUGCCCACAGGAGUCUCGCAGGCCGUGGUGGGAAUUUGGCCUUGUUUCUUGAGGGUCUCUGGGAGGGGAGUCAGGUCUGAGCUUUCCAAAACACCCUUCAGGCUGCUGUAUGGAGAGUGGAUCAGAGGCUCAGGGGAGGCCCAGGUUGGGGGCCAGGGCAAAGCUGACAGGGAAGGAGGAGGGGAGGGGUGAUUCUGGAGCCUUUAGGUGGUUGAGAGGGCAGGACCAGUGACCACCUGGCCCUGAGGAGGAGCAGGGGCUUCCUCGGUUUCUGACAGGCCCUCGCCUCCACUCUCUUCCCAUUCAGCCUCCUCCCACCUGUCUACACCUCCCCCUCCCUUAGAGACCCCAUCCCUGUUCUCCGUUAGCCUCAAGGAUUUGGGGGGUUGGGGUGCUCUUCUGGCUCAAUAAAGACUUCCUGGUUGACAUUCACA